rnacentral:rRNA from 1 species
UACGAAGGUGGCAAGCGUUGUUCGGAUUUACUGGGCGUACAGGGAGCGUAGGCGGUUGGAUAAGCCCUCCGUGAAAUCUCCAGGCUUAACCUGGAAAGUGCAGAGGGGACUGUUCAGCUAGAGGAUGGGAGAGGAGCGCGGAAUUCCCGGUGUAGCGGUGAAAUGCGUAGAGAUCGGGAGGAAGGCCGGUGGCGAAGGCGGCGCUCUGGAACAUUUCUGACGCUGAGGCUCGAAAGCGUGGGGAUCAAACAGG